GCUUAUCCCCCUGCUGAUGCUUGUGAGGGCAUUCAGCUGGUGUCCGUCUCACCGGUAUAAAUCCCACCUGUGGUGGGGGAGCUCUGGUUGCUGAAUCUCUGGUGCUUGGGCUGCUCGGGACUUGCUGAGACCAGGCUCAUCCCAAGGUAUACAGCCAAAGCUGCACCACCAUGUCUGAGGUCUUCGGCUGGCCUGGUGGUGGUGGAAGAGAACUGGUGGCUGGUGGAGAGGUAAUGCCAGCCUCCUUGCCUGUGCUUUGCCUACAACUCCAGGAUGAAGAUAUAAAGGAUUAUUUUGAAAAAUGCAUUAAAACCACAGUCACUGGGCAUUGGGCCUGUGAUCUUAUGCUGGGGUUUGAGGAGAGCUUACACCUGGAGGUGAGAUGCACAGGUACUAAAUAUUGCAGCUUGUAUUUGGACUGGACAGCACCGCGAGCUAUUCCUGAUAAAUUGUAUUUCCUGUGUGUACGUGGGGUGGUUUCUACUCUGUUGGUGCUAUUCUGCUCCUGAUGGAACGUUGGUGAGGGUGGUUUGACCAGCGGUGGGGUGUUUUGGUGCCUCUCCCCUUGUCUUCUGCUGUGUGGCAGAGCCCUGCUGGUUCCUCCUGGUGGUACACCUGAAUUUCUGAGCUGUGAAGCUAACGAGUUCAGGAAAAAUAAGUAGUAUGAAAGAUGUAGCGCAAAUAUUUUUAGCUCAUGUAUUCCACACCAUGCCAGUUUUUUAUGCUGCAUUGUAAUGCACUAAAUGUAGACCGUGUGGUUGUAAAUGUAAUACUAAAACCACCCCUGUGUUCAGUGCUGGAGCCCCCCUGAGAAGCCGGGACAUGCAGGGGUUUUCUCUGGCCCGUUACCUGCUGCAUCGCCUCCAGCUCCCGGCUCUGCCUGGUGCGUGGCUGUCUCAGGCUUCUGGUAAUCCCUCUUAAUAACCUUGUUGGUGGCAAGAAGACCAAGUGAGAUAUCCAAAGCAAGCGGGUAUUAAAUGAAUGUUUCUUUGUCUGUUACUGAGACGGGGGCAUUGGUACCAACCUGAAAGAUAUUGUUGUCUGUCUGGCACUGAUGCAGCAAGAUCCCAUUUAGUGGCAUCACUCAGGACUUGUCAUAUUACGGUAUGUCACAACAUGUCAGCCUGUGACAGGCUGGAUACCUGCUAUUAGCUUGCAGACUAGCAGCAAACACAAAGUGCAGGUGGUGAGCGAAGGCAGCGGCUGGAGCAGAGCAGAGGGAGCGCCUCCGGGCACUCAGGGGCUGCUCCUGCACGCCCGGGGCUCGGCUGGCACGCGGGAACGUCCCGGAGCAGGGCAGGAUUCUGGAAAUGCAGGCGUGACCCAGGAGCCCGGGGCCCUCUGAGCUGUGUGAGUACUCUGGUGUUUGCUUUCUUUGGUGCUUCAACUGGUAAAAAGCCUGUACACGAGCUGGAUACCACAGUCCCUGUGAGAUGUGCAUGGGCCAGGAGCACAAACUCCUGCAGGUUUAAUGGAAAUCCCAGCUGUAAUCCUUGCUGCGACUUUCCUGAGCUGAUAGUUCCUCCAAAGACACAAACAUAAACUAAAAAUGCCUGCUAAUGUGCCCCAGCCGAACAAAAGGCUCCUGCUACACAGAUGAAAAAGCUCUGAGCUGCAACGCAAACUGGGGAGAGAAAGCAGGAGAGAGCAAGGGACCUUCGGGUGCUGCUGUGCUGGGAAUGCUCAGGUGGCCGAACCAGAGACAAAAGCAGCCUCCAGACAGCCAGGUUUGGGUAAAAUUCCAUCCUGACACCAAAGCAUCGGCUUAAUCCUGAAACAGCACCAGCCUGCAGGGCUGUCAGCGUUACUGGAAGAAACAGCUCGUGCAGCCCACAUCCCCUCUGCAGCUGGGGCUGGUGUCUGAUGUUUGGGGAAGGGGGGGGACAGCAAAAACACUGGCAGCAAAGGUCUGCACCAGGCGGCUGGGGAAUGUCCUCCUGCCUCUGGCCUGCAGAGGUCCCUGAGGUAUGAGUUCAAUUAAUUGGCUGCCUGUGAGCGUAGUACACCAAACACAGUAGAUCAAGUCUCCUUUUGCCCCCGUUGGUGACAUGACUCAAGCCUCAGAUCGCAGGUUUAAUGACAGGAUCACCCUGUUUUGUCACGCAGUUCCACCCAUCAACUUUGCAAGCUCUGUUUGAAGGCUGGUGGUGUGCUCUGCCUCCAUGCCCGUGAUACCAGCCUGGGGCUGAGCAGGGAGUCCUGCAGCAGGAGAUGGUGUCUGCAGGAGAGAGCACAGCCUGAGCCACGCGGGCUCCUUCUGGGCCCCUUCUGCCGGGGCUGCUGGUGCGGUGCCCGGAGCUGCUCCCUGGCUGUGCCGCAGCCUGGAGCUGGGCCCUUCCUGGGCACCACGGGCUGGCUGCAGGGGGGAAGCCGAGCCCUGGCCGUGCUGGUGGCCAGAGCAGAGCGUGCGAGCUGCUGCUGAAAUCCUGGCACCUCGCUGUGUUGGUGCUGGCUCUCGGUGUGCGCGCUUGGAGCCGUGGCAGCCACAUCUUCCAGCAGGAUGUGCCGGGACACAGCUCUGUCUGCUCCUGCCCGGGACAGGACCGGGCUGGUGGGCAGCGCGGAUGGACCGUGACCAUCUGGCUGGGGCAGGGGCUUCCAAGCAGAGCGUCCCCUGCCACCCAGCGGGCUGGUCCUCUGUGCUCGAGCUCCGUGUCACAGCCCAAAUCCCUUGUCUUUCACAAAGUUCUUUACGUGAUAACAAGCCUGAGAGCAGGCUGACUUAUAUUUGUUUUAUUAUUAAGCUGAUGAGGUUAUUUAGCCUGUUAUAUGCCCCAUUAAAUUCAGUGUUUGAAAUUCUGCGGAGAGCUGGAGCUUUGCAGAGCGGGCAUGCCCUGCGCUCAUCAGCGACACUCGUGGUGUUUGUCUUGGAGCACCCAAACCACGCGGCCGCUGCUUGCUCCCUGGGUUCCCUUUCCUUGCAGA